rnacentral:rRNA from 1 species
GCCAACGUCCAUACCACGUUGAAUACACCGGUUCUCGUCCGAUCACCGAAGUUAAGCAACGUCGGGCGCGGUCAGUACUUGGAUGCCUGGGAACACUGCGUGACGUUGGCU